GGAGGGAUGCCCGAGUGGUUAAAGGGGACGGACUGUAAAUCCGUUGGCUAUGCCUACGUUGGUUCAAAUCAACUCCCUCCACCA
rnacentral:tRNA from 1 species